GUAUCCGGGUCGCUGCUUUCCCUAUUGUCUGAGGCAGCCGCCCUCGCGCUGUGCAAUUUCUGGUCUUUCGUUGCUUCUGGUCCAGGCUAAUAAAGUUUUUCUUUCUUUAAUUUUUUUUCUUCUAGUUUUAACGGGAGAAAUUAACUCCCCGGGGCCGCCGGGUUGACUGCGCUGCCUGGGCCGGAGGUCUUCUCCGGCCAGGGAGCGCUGUGGGAAGGGGCUCGAGCGGCCAGGGCCAGGCGAGGCCGGGGGGGCGGGGGGUUAGGGGACCGCGGGGCUACUCUUGGGAGCGCCCCUGUCCGGCUGGCUGCGCGCCGGUUUUAAAUAGCAUCUUUCGGACUUGUCUUCGCGGCCCCAGUCCCCGACCUCGGCGCUGCCUGGGCUCCUGCAGCCUCUCCCUAAGUCUUCUCCAAACGACCACCUCACGGAUUCCUUAUGGAUCGCAGCUCCAAGAGGAGGCAGGUGAAGCCUUUGGCAGCUUCUCUGCUGGAAGCUCUUGAUUAUGAUAGUUCAGAUGACAGUGAUUUUAAAGUUGGAGAUGCCUCAGGACUCGCUGAUUCUUGAGAAGAGUCAAAACUGGAGCUCUCAAAAAAUGGACCAUAUUCUGAUUUGCUGUGUUUGUCUGGGAGAUAAUAGUGAGGACGCUGAUGAAAUAAUUCAGUGUGACAAUUGUGGCAUUACAGUCCAUGAAGGUUGUUAUGGAGUUGAUGGAGAGAGUGACUCUAUUAUGAGUUCAGCUUCUGAAAACUCCACUGAACCUUGGUUUUGUGAUGCCUGUAAAUGUGGUGUUUCUCCUAGCUGUGAACUGUGUCCUAAUCAGGAUGGAAUUUUCAAGGAGACAGAUGCUGGAAGAUGGGUUCAUAUUGUUUGUGCCCUGUAUGUUCCUGGAGUAGCCUUUGGAGAUAUUGACAAAUUACGACCAGUAACACUAACGGAAAUGAACUAUUCCAAAUAUGGUGCCAAGGAGUGUAGCUUUUGUGAAGACCCUCGCUUUGCUAGAACUGGGGUUUGCAUUAGCUGUGAUGCAGGGAUGUGCAGAGCCUA
rnacentral:lncRNA from 1 species